GAUGAACGCUGGCGGCGUGCCUAAUACGUGCAAGUCGAGCGAACGGACGAGAAGCUUGCUUCUCUGAUGUUAGCGGCGGACGGGUGAGUAACACGUGGAUAACCUACCUAUAAGACUGGGAUAACUUCGGGAAACCGUAUCUAAUACCGGAUAAUAUUUUGAACCGCAUUGUUCAAAAGUGAAAGACGGUCUUGCUGUCACUUAUAGAUUGAUCCGCGCUGCAUUAGCUAGUUGGUAAGGUAACGGCUUACCAAGGCAACGAUGCAUAGCCGACCUGAGAGGGUGAACGGCCACACUGGAACUGAGACACGGUCCAGACUCCUACGGGGGGAAGCAGUAGGGAAUCUUACGCGAUGGACGAAAGGCUGACGGAGCAAAGCCGCGUGAGUGAUGAAGGUCUUCGGAUCGUAAAGCUCUGUUAUUAGGGAAGAACAUAUGUGUAAGUAACUGUGAACAUCUUGACGGUACCUAGUCAGAAAGCCACGGCUAACUACGUG
rnacentral:rRNA from 1 species